rnacentral:misc_RNA from 1 species
GAAAAUAUGAAAUUUUACAAAAUUUAGUUUGAUCGGUUUAAAACCGAAUCGAACCGAUAUUUAUCAGCUUGGUUCGGUUUGGUUUUCUCUUAAUAAUCAGUUUGGUUCGAUUUUUUAAAUUUUUUAUCUUUAGUUUUCGGUUUUAUUGGUUUGGUUCGGUUCAGAAUCGAACCGACCGUUUGCACACUCCUAUAUUGGAGGAUAGUUUCUCCAAGUAUAUUACAGAGCUACUUGCUUUAAUGGCUUUAAGUAAUACUAGGUUCUCUCCUUUGAGUUGGUAUAAUGUGUAGUGCUCCAACAUACUUUUUUUUUUUUUCAACAAGGACUUCACUGCUUGCUCCUUAUGUUGGUCUUUUUUUGUAUCAUAUGCAAUUUUAAUUUGAAAUAUGCAUUAGCAUUCUGAGUGUGAACUUUGUAAGUUUUGAAUACUUGCUUGAUCCUGGCUAAGUGGCUAUGGUUUAAUGGCUUAAAAGUUAGGGAAAAUUACAAAGUAGUCCCUAUAUUUGGAUAAAUUUUAACAACUGUCCCUGAACUUAUAUAAUUGUAACACUACAGUCCUUAACUUUAAAAUAUAAUAUAAAACCUCAUAAACUUUCAAAUUUUACACAGUAAAAUCCCUC